CAGCUAUAUCAUGUUGAAAUACUGGUUCACAUAUGAUCACCGAAGUUAAGCAACAUGGAGCCUGGUCAGUACCUAGAUGCCUUGGGAAUAUCAGGUGCUGUAAG